AACGAACGCUGGCGGCAGGCCUAACACAUGCAAGUCGAGCGAACCCUUCGGGGUUAGCGGCGGACGGGUUAGUAACGCGUGGGAAUAUACCCAAAGGUACGGAAUAGCCUCGGGAAACUGAGAGUAAUACCGUAUGUGCCCCUCGGGGGAAAGAUUUAUCGCCUUUGGAUUAGCCCGCGUUGGAUUAGGUAGUUGGUGGGGUAAUGGCCUACCAAGCCGACGAUCCAUAGCUGGUUUGAGAGGAUGAUCAGCAACACUGGGACUGAGACACGGCCCAGACUCCUACGGGAGGCAGCAGUGGGGAAUCUUAGACAAUGGGGGAAACCCUGAUCUAGCCAUGCCGCGUGGACGAUGAAGGCCUUAGGGUUGUAAAGUCCUUUCAGCUGGGAAGAUAAUGACGGUACCAGCAGAAGAAGCCCCGGCUAACUCCGUGCCAGCAGCCGCAGUAAUAC
rnacentral:rRNA from 1 species